UACGGAGGGUGCAAGCGUUGUUCGGAAUCAUUGGGCGUAAAGCGCGUGUAGGCGGCCAAAUAAGUCUGGUGUGAAAGCCCGGGGCUUAACCUCGGAAGUGCACUGGAUACUGUUUGGCUAGAGGACGAGAGAGGGAAGUGGAAUUCCUGGUGUAGGGGUGAAAUCCGUAGAUAUCAGGAGGAACACCAGUGGCGAAGGCGACUUACUGGACGACUGUUGACGCUGAGGUGCGAAAGCGUGGGGAGCAAACAGGG
rnacentral:rRNA from 1 species